ensembl:misc_RNA Metazoa_SRP Metazoan signal recognition particle RNA
GUUGGAUGUGGCGACAUGCGUCUGUAAUCCUUGCGUCCGGGAGACCGAGGCUGCUAGACUGCUUGAGUCAGGGAUUCUGGUACUGCGGCGCGCUGUAGCAAACGGGAGUCCUGGUGACGGUCCGCAUCGACAUGGUGCUCCGUGGGGAGCCUUGGCGCACCAGGUCACCUAAGGAGUGGUGAAACAACCCAGGCCAGCGAAAGCCUCCAUGCUGAGUGAUCUCUGGGUUGCCCCUGUAAGCAGUGGCUGCGGUGCUGCCGAGACGAGACGGCAGGGCGCAGCCUUUU